UACGGGAGGCAGCAGUGGGGAAUAUUGCACAAUGGGCGCAAGCCUGAUGCAGCCAUGCCGCGUGUAUGAAAAAGGCCUUCGGGUUGUAAAGUACUUUCAGUCGUGAGGAAGGUGUUAAGGUUAAUAACCUUAGCAAUUGACGUUAGCGACAGAAGAAGCACCGGCUAACUCCGUGCCAGCAGCCGCGGUAAUACGGAGGGUGCGAGCGUUAAUCGGAAUUACUGGGCGUAAAGGGCACGCAGGCGGUUAAUUAAGUUGGAUGUGAAAUCCCCGGGCUUAACCUGGGAAUGGCAUUCAAGACUGGUUAGCUAGAGUCUUGUAGAGGGGGUAGAAUUCCAUGUGUAGCGGUGAAAUGCGUAGAGAUGUGGAGGAAUACCGGUGGCGAAGGCGGCCCCGUGGACAAAGACUGACGCUCAUGUGCGAAAGCGUGGGGAGCAAACGAGGGAUUAGAUACCC
rnacentral:rRNA from 1 species